rnacentral:lncRNA from 1 species
GCAGGUGAAGAAAUUAAUGAAGACUAUCCAGUAGAAAUUCACGAGUAUUUGUCAGCGUUUGAGAAUUCCAUUGGUGCUGUGGAUGAGAUGCUGAAGACCACGAUGUCUGUUUCUAGAAAUGAGUUGUUGCAGAAGUUGGAUCCACUUGAACAAGCAAAAGUGGAUUUGGUUUCUGCAUACACAUUAAAUUCAAUGUUUUGGGUUUAUUUGGCAACCCAAGGAGUUAAUCCUAAGGAACAUCCAGUAAAACAGGAAUUGGAAAGAAUCAGAGUAUAUAUGAACAGAGUCAAGGAAAUAACAGACAAGAAAAAGGCUGGCAAGCUGGACAGAGGUGCAGCUUCAAGAUUUGUAAAAAAUGCCCUCUGGGAACCAAAACCGAAAAAUGCAUCAAAAGUUGCCAAU